AUAUUCGAUUACGCGAAGNACCUUACNUACCCUGACAUCGUGCGACUUGGGUAGAGAUACCCUUGGUGCCUUCGGGAGCGCACAGACAGGUGCUGCAUGGCUGUCGUCAGCUCGUGUUGUGAAAUGUUGGGUUAAGUCCCGUAACGAGCGCAACCCUUGUCCUAUUUGCCAGCGAUUCGGUCGGGAACUCUAGGGAGACUGCCGGUGACAAACCGGAGGAAGGUGGGGACGACGUCAAGUCAUCAUGGCCCUUACGGGUAGGGCUACACACGUGCUACAAUGGCCGGUACAAUGGGUUGCGAAGCCGCGAGGUGGAGCUAAUCCCAUAAAGCCUCUCANGAUCGGAGUCUGCAACUCGCUCCGUGAGUCGGAAUCGCUAGUAAUUAAAAUCAGAUGUCACG
rnacentral:rRNA from 1 species